GCUGCUCCAACCUUGCACCGCCGACCUCACACCGGCCCAAGCAGGGGUGGCGCGCCUCAUCCUCAUCUUCCUCUCAGCGCGGAUAGAGAUGGCGGCGGCUGGAUCUGGCUAAGUGGCCAGUGAGGAUGACGACUUCACCCCCGCCCCCAGUCAAAGUCAACCGACCACUUCCAUCGGGCGUCGCCAUGUUCUUCCUCACGCGUCGCCGACCGGCGGCGAGAAAGAGGACAUCGUGAGGCUCGAGGAGGUUGCCAUCACCACCGGCGAAGAGGACGAGGACCUCCUACUUGAUAUGACAACUCAGCCGUGAACUUUAAAAGAGCAAACAAGGUUCUGGUAUUGGAGUCUGAGCUGAUGUCUCUGCUAAAUGGUUUGUUCGAUCGCAUGGGAUGUGCUAAUGGAGAUGGUGAGGAAGACAAGUAGAGAUGUGUGAUGUACUCUUGUCAUCUACAUGGAUAGAUUCUUCUGUCCUAAAUCACGUGGAAGGUUGCGAUCACUGUAUGGGCACCUACAUUGCUCCUUCUCCUUGACUAUAUGAGAUUUAUACCCGUUGCUCAAGUAUGUCAUGAGGUUAACAAAGGACUUGAGUAUACAUUAAAGUAUAAGCACCAUGAUUUAUUCAGAUGUUUGACACUUGACAGUAUCCGAGAUGCCGCAACAAGGUCUGGUGUAGUGUUUUACAAUGUUGUCAUUUCUUCACUUUGCAAAAAAUGGGAAACUGAUCGUGCCAUUGAUUUAUUUCGCCCACAUGGUGUUGAUUAUUUCAUAAUUCAUCAUUUUUAUUAACUUAUUCAUGUGAAGUGUAAUCUUGAAAGUUGCAUUUGCAGACUAUACCAUCUGAAAUGUCGUUUAUUAAUAACUGCUGGAGUGUAUAUCCUUCGUUAGAGUGAGUACGAAAAACUGAACCAAAAAGGGAAUGUAAUGUUGUCAGCGAGGAUGGGAUUCUUAUGCCUCAGGUUUCCCUUUGUAUCACUGAGACUUGAGAGUAGAUUGUAGGGUAAUACAUUCUACAUGCAUGUGUGUUGUAGUUGUAGCAAGUUAGACAAGGUACCCCCCUAAUGCCGAGAGUAUGGAGCUGACGAAGGCUAUCAACAACAAGCUUCAGGAGGAGAAUGGUCUAACCUAUAGCCCAGAUCAGGUGCUAGCGUCCAAUGGAGCUAAGCAGUGCAUUGCACAAGCUAUGCUUGCUCUUUUCUCACGUGCUGAUGUGG